AUUGAACGCUGGCGGCAGGCCUAACACAUGCAAGUCGAGCGAGCGGCGGACGGGUGAGUAAUGUAUGGGGACUGCCCGAUAGAGGGGGAUAACUACUGGAAACGGUGGCUAAUAACGCAUACUAUCGGAUAACCCAUUAGGGAUUAGCUAGUAGGGGGGGGAAAGGCUCACCUAGGCGACGAUCUCUAGCUGAUCCGAGAGGAUGAUCGGCCACACUGGGACUGAGACACGGCCCAGACUCCUACGGAGGCAGAAGUGGGGAAUAUUGGACAAUGGGGGCAAGCCUGAUGCGGCAAUGCCGCGUGUAUGAAGAAGGCCUUAGGGUUGUAAAGUACUUUCAGCGGGGAGGCGUUACCCGCAGAGGAAGCACCGGCUAACUCCGUGCCAGCAGCCGCGGUAAUUC
rnacentral:rRNA from 1 species